rnacentral:rRNA from 1 species
UACGAAGGGGGCUAGCGUUGUUCGGAAUCACUGGACGUAAAGCGCACGUAGGCGGAUCUUUAAGUCAGGGGUGAAAUCCCGAGGCUCAACCUCGGAACUGCCUUUGAUACUGGGGAUCUCGAGUCCGGGAGAGGUGAGUGGAACUGCGAGUGUAGAGGUGAAAUUCGUAGAUAUUCGCAAGAACACCAGUGGCGAAGGGCGGCUCACCUGGCCCGGAACUGACGCUGAGGUGCGAAAGCGUGGGGAG